rnacentral:rRNA from 1 species
GAUGAACGCUAGCUACGGGCUUAACACAUGCAAGUCGAGGGGAAACGACAUUGAAGCUUGCUUCGAUGGUCGUCGACCGGCGCACGGGUGAGUAACGCGUAUCCAACCUGCCUCUGACCAAGGGAUAACCCGUCGAAAGUCGGCCUAAUACCUUAUGCAGUCGUCGGAAGUCAUCUGAUGACGACGAAAGAUUUCAUCGGUGAGAGAUGGGGAUGCGUCUGAUUAGCUUGUUGGCGGGGUAACGGCCCACCAAGGCAACGAUCAGUAGGGGUUCUGAGAGGAAGGUCCCCCCCAUUGGAACUGAGACACGGUCCAAACUCCUACGGGAGGCAGCAGUGAGGAAUAUUGGUCAAUGGGCGAGAGCCUGAACCAGCCAAGUAGCGUGCAGGAUGACGGCCCUAUGGGUUGUAAACUGCUUUUAUGCGGGGAUAAAGUGAGGGACGUGUCCUUCAUUGCAGGUACCGCAUGAAUAAGGACCGGCUAAUUCCGU